rnacentral:rRNA from 1 species
UACGUAGGGUGCAGGCGUUAAUCGGAAUUACUGGGCGUAAAGCGUGCGCAGGCGGUUUCUUAAGUCAGAUGUGAAAUCCCCGGGCUCAACCCGGGAACUGCGUCCGAUACUGGAAGGCUUGAAUCCGGGAGAGGGAUGCGGAAUUCCAGGUGUAGCGGUGAAAUGCGUAGAUAUCUGGAGGAACACCGGUGGCGAAGGCGGCAUCCUGGACCGGCAUUGACGCUGAGGCGCGAAAGCCAGGGGAGCAAACGGG